UACGAAGGGGGCUAGCGUUGCUCGGAAUCACUGGGCGUAAAGCGCACGUAGGCGGCUUCUUAAGUCAGGGGUGAAAUCCUGGAGCUCAACUCCAGAACUGCCUUUGAUACUGAGGAGCUUGAGUCCGGGAGAGGUGAGUGGAACUCCGAGUGUAGAGGUGAAAUUCGUAGAUAUUCGGAAGAACACCAGUGGCGAAGGCGGCCAACUGGACCAUAACUGACGCUGAGGUGCGAAAGCGUGGGGAGCAAACCGG
rnacentral:rRNA from 1 species